UCACGAAGCAGAACGCAGUCUUCAGAGAUAUCCACGUGAACGCUGUGAUACGUCUGACCUUCAGUCCGAAAAAGAGAACCCGGACCAGUCUUAAAAGAAAGCACAAACCAAAUCCCCUGUACACAUAUACGGACUCAGAGGAUGAGCAGCCUACAAAAAAACGGUUUCCCCAGGCCCCUCGAGUGAAAAUACCAGGUAAUAAAAUACUGUCUAGUGUCUGUGUACAUAUCUGUGUCUGACACGAGGAAACUUUUUUGACAAGUUGUCUGUAUUCUUAAAUACUUAAAAAAAUUAUCUUUUUCUAAACAGCCCUCAUCACUCCGCAGUCUGCCCCCCAGCCCACUGAUAGCAACCAUCAUAAUGCCCCACCCAGCUUCCGGCACCUUUCGCCACUCCGGCACAAGCCGACACAGCUUUGCGAUCUCGCCAGCAUGCAGAGUCUGAUGUCUUCCCUAUAGAUGGUGAGACGCUUUGCGUUGAUUGGUGCUGCUGGACCACACUGGAGGUGCGAGUCCGCCGUGUAAUGGUUUAUGCCAUUACAAAGGAGCUGUACUCUGUACUCAACUGGUCAGGGGAAAAAAACAAGGACCAGACAAAGCAAAAAAGGGCAUUUAAAGAGACAGCGCUGUGCAGAUGCAUAUUUGAUGGCCUGGCGCAGCAGGUAGGGGCGAACUCUGUCUGAGUUGGUCUUUGCUCAAGCAGUCCAGAAAUGGCUCAGAUAUGCUCCAGAUCGUACGGGUGGCGCGCAGGACGCACAUCAUCCAUCCCCAUCCCGGAGUAAAUAAUAAAAAGUGACGUGAAACAUAGAAAUGUAAAUAGGAAACUUUGUCUUUUAAUAAAGUAUUUUGCAAAUGAUACAUGUCUAUUGACCUUUUUUGUUUUUUUUUUUGUUUUUUUUCAAUAAAAAGCAACUGUACGAAAGAGGUGGAAAAUCAAUACCAUAGCUCAACAGUGUUUCAAUAUCAGAAUCUGACAUUGUUUCAAUGUCAACAGUGUUAGAAAAUAUAACGUAGAAUCAAUGUCAGGUUUCAACAUUGAUUCAAC
ensembl:lncRNA